rnacentral:rRNA from 1 species
UGUGCCAAGGUAGCAAAAUCAAUUGUUCAUUAAUUGUGGACUGGAAUCAAUGGCUCGACGAUAGAAACACUGUCUCUUUCUACUUAUUUUGAAUUUUAUUAAAGAGUGAAGAAGCUCUUAUGUGAUAGCGGGACGAGAAGACCCCGUUGAGCUUUAGUUAGACUAAGCUUAUACAAAUCUUAAUAACUUAGGUUGGGGCAACCAUUUUUAAAUAAAACAAAAAUAAUAAAUGGAUGAUUCAAAUCUUUUUAAUAAGCCUUAAUUUUAGGAAAAUGUAAAAAGUUACCACGGGGAUAACAGCGUAAUUUUUUUUGAGAGUUCUUAUUGACAAAAAAGUUUGCGACCUCGAUGUU